rnacentral:rRNA from 1 species
GAUGAACGCUAGCGAUAGGCUUAACACAUGCAAGUCGAGGGGCAGCAUGGUCUUAGCUUGCUAAGACUGAUGGCGACCGGCGCACGGGUGCGUAACGCGUAUGCAACUUGCCUCACAGAGGGGGAUAACCCGUCGAAAGACGGACUAAUACCGCGUACACUCCAUCUUGGGCAUCCAAGGUAGAGGAAAUGAAAUUCGCUAUGAGAUAGGCAUGCGUCCCAUUAGCUAGUUGGUGAGGUAACGGCUCACCAAGGCGACGAUGGGUAGGGGAACUGAGAGGUUGAACCCCCACACUGGUACUGAGACACGGACCAGACUCCUACGGGAGGCAGCAGUGAGGAAUAUUGGUCAAUGGGCGAGAGCCUGAACCAGCCAAGUCGCGUGAAGGAUGACUGUCUUAUGGAUUGUAAACUUCUUUUAUACGGGAAUAACAAGAGUCACGUGUGACUCCCUGCAUGUACCGUAUGAAUAAGCAUCGGCUAACUCCGUG